rnacentral:snoRNA from 1 species
UACCGCACCAAGCUUUUCAUUGCCCGCCAACUCAUCCCAGGGGCUUUGGAUAAAAAGUUGUGGUUAUAGCGAAGCCUCUCCAUUUGCGAUUACUGCCAGCAGACCAUCUGCCGUGCUGCUGGCGGUUAACAACUUCUGGAACAA